GCUCCAGUAGCUUAAAUUUAAAGCAUUGUUCUUGUAAACCAAAGUUGGUAAUACCCUAGAGCA
rnacentral:tRNA from 1 species